GUGGAAGUGGGUGGGUGGGGGAGUGGGCAUGGGAGGGGUGUGGGAGACUUUUGGGUUAACAUUGGAAAUGUAAAUGAAAUAAAUAUCUAAUUAAAAAAUCUAGAAAACUGAAAAAAAUCAGUAGAGUGCACUAUUUUUCUAAAACAUAACAAAACUUACAUUAAACAGUCAAAUCUUCAGUUCAGUCAUUGACUAAGCUCGGGGUAGGAAAGGGAAACUUAGCUGGCUUGAAAUUGGUUGCCAGGAAACACACAAAAGCACCAGGAUAGAGAAAACAAACAACUCCAUAUUGCUGGGACAGUGGCCUUUGGAUGCAAGGACUUUACUGAGUGAGAGGGACUUUGAAGCUGUGCACCUGUGUCGAUGAACACCCCCCAGAUGAAAAACUGCAGCUGAAAAGGAUGAAAGCAGUAAAGGC
rnacentral:lncRNA from 1 species